CGCACGACAUCGCCGGACUCCGAUCUCCUCAACCGAUGGUCGCCCACAGCCUCGCCCGCGGGGCAGCUGUCUAGAAGCUCCAGGCCCCUGACUGCCCUCCUGUUCCUCUUUGACAAGUGAGCAGAGCCGAUAUACGCCCAGAUACGAGGCAGCUGUCUAGAAGCUCCAGGCCCCUGACUGCCCUCCUGUUCCUCUUUGACAAGUGAGCAGAGCCGAUAUACGCCCAGAUACGAGG